rnacentral:rRNA from 1 species
AAAAGCUUGCUUUCUUUGCUGGCGACCGGCGCACGGGUGAGUAACACGUAUCCAACCUACCCUUUACUCGGGGAUAGCCUUUCGAAAGAAAGAUUAAUACCCGAUAGCAUAAUGAUUCCGCAUGGUUUCAUUAUUAAAGGAUUCCGGUAAAGGAUGGGGAUGCGUUCCAUUAGGUUGUUGGUGGGGUAACGGCCCACCAAGCCUUCGAUGGAUAGGGGUUCUGAGAGGGAGGUCCCCCACAUUGGAACUGAGACACGGUCCAAACUCCUACGGGAGGCAGCAUG